AGAAGGAUAAGCAUCUGGCAGAA
rnacentral:piRNA from 1 species